rnacentral:lncRNA from 1 species
AUGUCCUCCAGUGAACAGCCUGGCCCGGUCCAAGUACUGCUGACGCCCAAUCAGGAGGAGGAAGAGGACCAGGCAGUGCCCAACCAGGAUGCUGCUCUGGGCCCGGACCCGCCCCCUCCACCCUAUCGGCCCGCUCCCCCCCGACCCCCACUCAGCCUCAGCAUCGCUCACCCUUGUGCCCCUUCCAGCCGAGGGGAGGAGGAGGAGGAGGAGGUCGGAUGUGUGGGGAGGAGAAGGGAGGAAGGUGAAGAUGGGAGGGAGGGGACCGGGGUGAGGCUGUGUGAGUUGCUGCAGGCAGGGGGGGUGAGUGUCAGACCUCUGGGGAAGCACCUAGCCAUCUCUCUGCCCUCGCUUCCUCUGCGUCUCUGGGAUACACACAUCACACACACCGCACACUCCACACACCUUGAGCCCACACACACACCCCCUACCCCUCUGCCCUCUACUCCUCCCCCAUCCUCCCCACUGGAAGCCUCUGGGCAAAGGAAACCUCUAGCGCCUCUCUGGCAGCCCCCCCGGCCCCAUUCCCCCACUGUCGCCACCCAGCACUGGCUGAGGCACGGGGACGCGUCCGACGGCGGCACACGUCAUUGGUCCUCCUGGAGUUUGGACCGCCCUGACGCCGUGGUGAUGCCAUACAGCACGCCCCCAGACUACUGCGCUCCCAUCAGGCCGCGGGCGUCCAGCCAGAACUACAGCUACAGUUGCCAGUACUCUCCAGGGCACCGCAGCUCCCAGCAUGCCCCAGGGCAACACAGUGACCCCCGCUAUGACCGCGAGGAGGCUGAGCUGUCUGAGCUUGACUCCCUUUUCCAGGCCAGUCUGCAGGCUGGAAAGACAGGCUGCAGCCCGUCAGAGAGGCUCAUAUCCAGGGUGGGAGGGCAGGGUCGCUCUAAGACCCCCAACGCAGACAUGGAGAGGAGUGUGUAUGGGGCUGAUGGCACCAGCACCCCCACCUACCUCAACAAGCCAGCGAUGGUGCGGGAUCUGCGUUUUGGGGCGGAGCCCGGCGACGGGGAAAACCUGCGGCGAAUUGGCCGCAGCCUGAGCGGCACAGUGGUGACCUCGCGCCGCGGCCGCCUCACUGCAACCCGCAGCUUUGUGAAGCAGACUGAUGUCAGUGCCUCUCCUUGCUAA